rnacentral:misc_RNA from 1 species
AACCAUAGAAACCUGCGGAGUACCUGCGGAGGGAUCAUUAAAAAGAGUGUGUACCCCCCUGUAAAAUGGGUGGGUUACCUCCCGUCCUUUGUUGACCUCUUAGGAGGUUAUUUUGAACUUUUCUGCUUCGGUGGGGUUAAACCUACCGGAACACCCUCAAAUUCUGAUCAUUUAAAAAUUGUUCAGUCCGAUUUUUGUUAAUAAAAACAAAAAACUUUUAACAAUGGAUCUCAGAUCGGA